CUCCCGGUCGUAUAAUGGAUAAUACAGCCCCCUCCUAAGGGGCAAAUAUAGGUUCGAUUCCUGUCCGGGAGACCA
rnacentral:tRNA from 1 species